AUACUUGGGUAAAUGGCACAAUCCUUGCCCUUUGUGCAUACAUGAGUCAUGAGUUGUUUAGCCACAUGAGCUCAAAGUUCAUGGUCACUUCCGAUCUAUCCGUGUCCACCUGCAGCUCGUGAGUCUGGCUACAGUCACUUCUGCAAGUGUCACAGAGGUGUCUGGUGACCAUUUCUCUCUCUCAUCUCACACUCAACUAAUGGACCGCUUUGCCCCUCCCCUCCUUUUCUCCAUCUCGGACUGGGAGGUAGUGAGAGGAGGAGAGGAGGCAACAGCCCACCGUUCCCCAGGGCCCCUCUACACGGCUCAAUAGCUCAGCUCCUGGAUGGGAUCAUAACCCUGAGUGCUGGCCAAGAGAAGAGCCGCUUCUCCUCACUGCAGGGUGGAGUUUCCUCCAGGAGAACAAACUCACUCGAACCCCACCAUGGCUGAGCGUAGGGUGGUCCCGAUUGUGGUUUUGCUUCUUGUCCUGGUUGCACCAGCCCUGAGCGGAUGCCCAGGCGCCUGUCGCUGUUCCUUUGCCAUGCUGCAAUGCCUGGAGUUGGACGGGAUCACCAGCAUCCCGGCGUUGGCGCCACAGGAGAGUGAAAACGUCACUGAAAUCUACAUAGAGAAUCAAGCAAACCUGGAGAACAUCACAGACAUAGACCUCGCCAACUACAGAGAACUGAAGAACCUGACGGUCACAGAUUGUGGGAUGGUGUACAUCUCUGAAAAUGCCUUUCAGCAUAAUUUCAAGCUGCAGUAUGUAAACCUGGCCUCUAAUUUACUAAUGUACAUCAGUUGGAGGGUGUUCCAUUCGGUCCCUCUGUUGAGUCUAAUUCUGAGGGACAAUCCACUCACCUGCUCAUGUGACAUUUACUGGCUUCAGCAAUGGCAUAGAAAAAGACAAAGCGAUAUUGAUUCUCAACAAAACUGCAUCUACAAUGGCAACAGCAUUCAGCUGGAUUCGUUUGAAAUGGACAAUUGUAGUGUUCCUGAAGUCAAAAUUGACCCACCGACACUGACCACUCAAGAAGGUGGAAACCUGACCUUUACCUGUCUGGUGACUGGAGUACCAACACCGACUAUCCGCUGGAGAACAGAGCACCUUCAGUCCAGCUGGACCCUGCAGCAAGGGAUCUGGGGAUCAACCCUGGAGCUGGUUCUGCACAUGAGGAGCGUGUCUUCUGGAGACAACCUGCACAAUCUCACCUGUGAGGCGGAGAAUCGCGCUGGAAUGGAUGAAGCCACCGUGCAGCUGGAUAUUGAAUUUCCAGUGCGGAUCUUGUUUCUGAAGGACCCAGAACCACAGCAUCACUGGUGUAUCCCGUUUGCUGUGGACAGCAAUCCUCCCGCCACCAUCAAAUGGCUGUACAACAACACACCUCUCAUCGAAACCCGCUACACCUACACCGAACUGAUCAGAGACGCGGCCGAUGGCUCCGUUCAACACGGGUGUCUGUUCCUCAACAAGCCAACCCAUCUGAACAACGGCAACUACACACUCAUCGUGGAGAAUAAACUGGGUAGGGACCAGGCUACAGCAAAGGGGAUGUUCAUGGUAAAUCCUUUCGACCCCUUUGACCCAGAGGGCAUCAUUCCAGUCCUCCCUGAUGACCCAACAGUUCCCACCAACCAAUCAACGGAGACGGAGAAACUGGAGACCAGAGUGUUUGGGGUGUCAGUAGCGGUGGGUCUCGCUGUGUUUGCCUGCACAUUUCUUCUCAUCAUGGUGGUUGUCAUCAAUAAAUGUGGACAGCACUCCAAGUUCGGCAUCCACCGUUCGUCUGUUCUAGGCACUGAGGACGAUCUGGCCGUGUCUCUCCGCUUCAUGAACUUCGGGGCGAGUCCUCCAUCUUCAGAUGACAGCACGCUGGAUUCUGGCUUGUCCAGUUUUGUAGAAAACCCGCAGUAUUUCUGUGGGAUCAUCAAAGAGAAAGACAUGUGUGUACAAAACAUUAAAAGAAAAGACAUUAUUUUGAAGUGGGAACUGGGUGAAGGAGCUUUUGGCAAGGUUUACCUAGCAGAAUGUGCCAACCUUUGUCCUGAUACUGACAAGAUGCUGGUUGCUAUCAAGACCUUGAAAGUUGCCAGCGAGUCCACCCGACAGGACUUCCAGCGCGAGGCCGAGCUGCUCACGGUGCUACAGCAUGAACACAUAGUGCGCUUCUACGGUGUGUGUACAGACGGAGAACCUCUCGCCAUGGUGUUUGAGUACAUGCGACACGGAGACCUCAACCGCUUUCUAAGGGCUCAUGGUCCAGAUGCUCGUAUCUUGGACGAGAUGAAGGUUCCUCUGAUGGGUCAGCUGACUCUUCCUCAGAUGCUCCACAUCGCAGCUCAGAUCGCCUCAGGCAUGGUGUACCUCGCUUCCCUUCAUUUCGUCCACAGAGAUCUGGCCACCAGGAACUGUUUGGUCGGAGAAGGGCUGGUGGUGAAGAUCGGGGACUUCGGGAUGUCGAGAGACAUUUACAGCACUGAUUACUACAGGGUCGGUGGGAGGACGAUGUUGCCCAUUCGCUGGAUGCCGCCAGAAAGCAUCAUGUACAGGAAGUUCACCACGGAGAGUGACAUCUGGAGCUUUGGAGUGGUCCUUUGGGAAAUCUUCACCUACGGCAAACAACCGUGGUAUCAGCUAUCCAACAGUGAGGCCAUUGAGUGCAUCACGCAGGGACGAGAGCUUGAACGGCCACGUACCUGCCCAAAGGAAGUGCACCUCCUCAUGCAGGGCUGCUGGCAGAGAGAACCCCAGCAGAGGCUCGUCAUCAAGGACAUCUACAACCGCCUCGUGGCCCUCGUCAAGAGCCCGCCGGUCUACCUGGACAUCCUGGAGUAGCAGCACACGGCCCUGCGCGGAGAACACAUGCUUCUGACGGCUGCUUGUUUGGGCUGAGGAGGAAAGUCAACGCAACUUCCUGUUAUGGCUCCAGAGUUCUGCUUUAUUUCCUACAUCAGAAGCAUCAGCAAGGCCAGCAACUACACAACAACAGUGGAAACACACGGGCUGUGUACGGAAUGUAGUACUAACAUACUGAAUACUAUUUUUUUAAUCGAAACAGUAUGUUUUAUGGAACUGUCAAAUUUUCCAGCAGUAGUUUGUCACAUGAAUUGCAUGCUUUAGGCAAGACACUACAGGUGAAUAUGGUCAUUGUAAACAAUAGAUAUCUAAUUCUUUCCCUAGUUUAUUAACAACAGUACAUUAAGCGGCUGUUUACACGACAUCGUUUUCUACUA